UGGUGGAGCAUGUGGUUUAAUUCGAUGCAACGCGAAGAACCUUACCUACUCUUGACAUCCAGAGAAUUCGCUAGAGAUAGCUUAGUGCCUUCGGGAACUCUGAGACAGGUGCUGCAUGGCUGUCGUCAGCUCGUGUUGUGAAAUGUUGGGUUAAGUCCCGCAACGAGCGCAACCCUUAUCCUUGUUUGCCAGCACGUAAUGGUGGGAACUCCAGGGAGACUGCCGGUGAUAAACCGGAGGAAGGUGGGGACGACGUCAAGUCAUCAUGGCCCUUACGAGUAGGGCUACACACGUGCUACAAUGGCGUAUACAGAGGGCUGCAAACUAGCGAUAGUAAGCGAAUCCCACAAAGUACGUCGUAGUCCGGAUUGGAGUCUGCAACUCGACUCCANGAAGUNNGANNCGCU
rnacentral:rRNA from 1 species